GACGUAGGGCGCGAGCGUUGUCCGGAUUUAUUGGGCGUAAAGAGCUCGUAGGCGGCUUGUUGCGUCGUCCGUGAAAACCUGGGGCUCAACUCCAGGCUUGCGGUGGGUACGGGCAGACUAGAGUGAUGUAGGGGAGACUGGAAUUCCUGGUGUAGCGGUGGAAUGCGCAGAUAUCAGGAGGAACACCGAUGGCGAAGGCAGAUCUCUGGGCCGUAACUGACGCUGAGGAGCGAAAGCAUGGGGAGCGAACAGG
rnacentral:rRNA from 1 species